AUUGGACACCUUUGCUUUUGUUGAUCCGGCAGCCACAUAUAAUUGUGAAAGACCGGACUUCGUACGGUACUUAGUUGAUCGAUUAAAAGAGGGAAAAUCUGAUCGUAUAUUCUUCAUGCCUUACAAUCCGGGAAAGCAUUGGAUAUUAACUAUCAUAUGGGAGGGUGAAAUCUACAUCUUAGAUCCGUUGCCAAAACCAGUCCAUUAUCAAGUAUGAGAGACUUCAGUGAUCAAUGCGAUGAAAACCUUCAAUGCUGAAACUGGUAGGGUUAACAAACUGCCUAAAGUGAAAUCGCUUCCGGGCGUACCUAAACAACCAGGUGGAGUUGAGUGUGGCUAUUAUGUUAUGCGAUACAUGAAAGACAUAAUAGAGGAUGAGACACUUUCAUUUCCUACCAAGUGGGCGGUAAAGACGCGGAAGUCAUAUAGCCAAAAUCAAAUUGACGAGGUGCGCAUUGAAGUGGCUGAUUAUAUACAGAGUUUGAUGUAGGACUGUGACUGCCAAUAUGUUUUUUGAGUAAGGCUAGCUAGUUUUGGCUUUGAAGCAAAGCUUGGUGUGGAACUUUUGUACAUUGUUGCUCAUAUUUUUCCAAGCUUUGUUUUGUAAGUUUAGGGAUUUAUUUUGGCCCAUUAUGUUGAAUCAUGAAUUUGGAAAGAACAUUAAUGGAAAGCCCCUAAUUUUGGAUGAUGAGAAA